rnacentral:rRNA from 1 species
CCUACGGGAGGCAGCAGUGGGGAAUAUUGCACAAUGGGGGGAACCCUGAUGCAGCAACGCCGCGUGAAGGAAGAAGUAAUUCGUUAUGUAAACUUCUAUCGACAGGGAAGAAAGAAAUGACGGUACCUGAAUAAGAAGCCCCGGCUAAUUACGUGCCAGCAGCCGCGGUAAUACGUAAGGGGCAAGCGUUAUCCGGAUUUACUGGGUGUAAAGGGAGCGCAGGCGGCGUGGCAAGUCAGAUGUGAAAACCCGGGGCCCAACCCCGGGAGUGCAUUUGAAACUGCCAUGCUGGAGUGCCGGAGAGG